CCAGCUGGGCAGAGGCCUUAAAUACAGGAAGGGCACUCUACUUCACUGAUCCUGUCUGUUGAAUCAUACUGUGGGAGUUUUACCAGGAGGCCUGUGAUGACUUAAUGAGGCAGCAAAUCUUGGAAGAGAAGAUACCAAUAAAUAUCUGUACUUGUUUUAAGUAGGUCAGCAAAAACUGACAUUCUGAACAUUAUGCUUAAGUCCCCUUCCUGGAUUUUCCAAAAGAAACUUCUACCACUUCAUCAUAAGCUGAGCAGGACAAAGACCCAGAAGAAUUUAGAUAGUUUCUUUAUAGGUGUGGACUCAAGAAUACCCCAGAGAUGCUAUUGCUUUGCAAAUUUCUUCUCUUAAUAUCAUCAUCAACAACAACAGGAUUAACUGAGCACCUACUGGGAGCAGGGCACUGCAUUAGACACUUGGGGACAUCCAGAAGAGGUGAUCCCUGACCUUGAAGAGCUUACCAUCUAAUGAGGAAAAUGAGUUAGUGUGAAUAGAUAAAAAGCCAAAUAAUAAGAAUGGGAGGCUCGACAUGAAUAAAGAAAUACAAAAUGGAUAAAUUAAUCAGUAUAAAUGAAUGAACAGAAAAUCGUGUCAGAGCAAGACUAGCUUGGUAGUGGGGGUUAAUCACAGAGACAGUUAUGUUUCUGUAGAUGACCUAGCCCAACUACUGGGUCUACCAAAUGUAGACCUUGAGGUUUAUGAGGCAAAGAGAACAAUUAAGAACUCAAAUGCCUCCAAUAAAUUAGGGACAAAUUGAGUUUUUAUACUCUAUACUAUUGUACAUUAUUUUUUUCUAACUGCGAGUCCAUGCUAAGUCUCUCAUAUUUACCGUA